UAAAAGGGCUCCGCGCUAUGUGCGCAGGCCGGGUGCUACGCGUUCGGUCCGGAAUGGUCAUCAAGACAUUUCGGGAGCGUAUUCUUUGACUGUGGUCUGUCCGCCAUGCCUGGACGGCCGU
rfam:Taenia asiatica genome assembly, scaffold: TASK_scaffold0000323